GCACAAGCAGUGGAGUAUGUGGUUUAAUUCGAAGCAACGCGAAGAACCUUACCAGGUCUUGACAUCCGAUGCAUAGUGCAGAGAUGCAUGAAGUCCUUCGGGACAUCGAGACAGGUGGUGCAUGGUUGUCGUCAGCUCGUGUCGUGAGAUGUUGGGUUAAGUCCCGCAACGAGCGCAACCCUUAUUGCCAGUUACUACGCAAGAGGACUCUGGCGAGACUGCCGUUGACAAAA
rnacentral:rRNA from 1 species